UACGUAGGGGGCAAGCGUUGUCCGGAUUUAUUGGGCGUAAAGAGCGUGUAGGCGGCCGCACAGGUCCGUUGUGAAAACUGGAGGCUUAACCUUCAGACGUCGAUGGAAACCGUGCGGCUAGAGUCCGGAAGAGGAGAAUGGAAUUCCUGGUGUAGCGGUGAAAUGCGCAGAUAUCAGGAAGAACACCCGUGGCGAAGGCGGCUCUCUGGGACGGUACUGACGCUGAGACGCGAAAGCGUGGGGAGCGAACAGG
rnacentral:rRNA from 1 species